rnacentral:rRNA from 1 species
UUUUGCAUAUCCAAUAGCGGAGGAAAAGAAACCAACAGGGAUUGCCUUAGUAGCGGCGAGUGAAGCGGCAAAAGCUCAAAUUUGAAAUCUGGCGCCUUCGGUGUCCGAGUUGUAAUUUGAAGAUUGUAACCUUGGGGUUGGCUCUUGUCUAUGUUUCUUGGAACAGGACGUCACAGAGGGUGAGAAUCCCGUGCGAUGAGAUGCCCAAUUCUAUGUAAGGUGCUUUCGAAGAGUCGAGUUGUUUGGGAAUGCAGCUCUAAGUGGGUGGUAAAUUCCAUCUAAAGCUAAAUAUUGGCGAGAGACCGAUAGCGAACAAGUACAGUGAUGGAAAGAUGAAAAGAACUUUGAAAAGAGAGUGAAAAAGUACGUGAAAUUGUUGAAAGGGAAGGGUUUGAGAUCAGACUCGAUAUUUUGUGAGCCUUGCCUUCGUGGCGGGGUGACCCGCAGCUUAUCGGGCCAGCAUCGGUUUGGGCGGUAGGAUAAUGGCGUAGGAAUGUGACUUUACUUCGGUGAAGUGUUAUAGCCUGCGUUGAUGCUGCCUGCCUAGACCGAGGACUGCGAUUAAUCAAGGAUGCGGCAAAUACC